rnacentral:rRNA from 1 species
AUUGAACGCUGGCGGCAGGCUUAACACAUGCAAGUCGAGCGGGGGAAGGUAGCUUGCUACCGGACCUAGCGGCGGACGGGUGAGUAAUGCUUAGGAAUCUGCCUAUUAGUGGGGGACAACAUCACGAAAGGGAUGCUAAUACCGCAUACGUCCUACGGGAGAAAGCAGGGGAUCUUCGGACCUUGCGCUAAUAGAUGAGCCUAAGUCGGAUUAGCUAGUUGGUGGGGUAAAGGCCUACCAAGGUGACGAUCUGUAGCGGGUUUGAGAGGAUGAUCCGCCACACUGGGACUGAGACACGGCCCAGACUCCUACGGGAGGCAGCAGUGGGGAAUAUUGGACAAUGGGGGGAACCCUGAUCCAGCCAUGCCGCGUGUGUGAAGAAGGCCUUAUGGUUGUAAAGCACUUUAAGCGAGGAGGAGGCUACUUUAGUUAAUACCUAGAGAUAGUGGACGUUACUCGCAGAAUAAGCACCGGCUAACUCUGUGCCAGCAGCCGCAGUAA